UUGUAGUUGCCGUGUUGCCUGGCUACCGAGCAGCCCAAGCCCAGUAGUCGCUAACAGGCCGCCGCACCACGCGUCCAUGCGAGAGAGCGCCCUCCCAGGUCUCCGUUCCUCUCCCGUCGCCGUCAUCUCCAUUGCCACUGCUGGCCGUCACCGUCGCUGGGAGGAGCACCAGAUCUGCGCCUCCCUACUCCUCCCCAUCGGGACCGGGUAGGAGGUGGAUGACCGAGGACCCCGGGGACGACAAGGUGGCCGAGCAGUCCACGACGCCGUCGGAGACAGAAAAAGGGGUCCAGCCAUCCGCGGCGCCGUCGCCGACGUCCAGAAUGGGACGCUCAUCAUGCUUCUCCACUUUAUGGCCGUGUGUAGCUUGCAGAGGCAGAUUUCAGCGGUGGCAUGGUCGUGCAGCCUCUCCAUACCACAACGUCUUUCUCCUCAGGCCGGUUGCUACCUUAAGUAAAUUUGUAUUGUUUGCAGUUGAUAGGAUCAAGAUUUUGUUCAAAAAGAAAGAGAUAUAGAGGUUCACUUUCUUGCCCAGGUGAGUGCUCGAGUUGGUAGUGUUUAGAGGAUACAUAACCUUGGUGGCGUUUCUACUAUUUUUCAUCUGCUCAAACUGUAAGUAUAUUCAGAUUAAUUUUUAUUUUACUGCAGGCUGUAAAAACUCGUAAAUCAUGCUCUUGAGAUUAUCGCCAUGAGUAGUAUUUACUGGCAUAUCAUGUUUUAGAUGUUUCUCUUCAAGAGAUGCUUGCACUUUAGUUAGAGAAUUUUAUUCCUGCCGAAUCAGUAGUAUGUGUUAGAAUUGUGUACGAGAACAGGGAACAAGUAUGGUAGGCAGUGCAACAUUUAAUUAGCAAUUAGACCGAAAGAUCAUACUCAUAGGCAAUGAUGUUCUUGUCUCAUUCUUUAUUUAUUACCAGAUCAUAUCCAUAAAAACGUAUUGCUUAAUCGAGUCUUGGUUUACUUACAUGUUCUGCUUAUAGAACCAUUAUUUUCUGUAACGACCUGCUUCACAAUGAUGUGGUCCAAACCAAAUAUCUUUUCUUUUGUUAACAAACAUUUGUUAUUAUGCUUAGCAUUAUCGGGGUGACCUCUCAGAUUUGGAGUUGUACUUCGUUAUUAUGAAUAAUGAAUAUGGUCAACAAUCCGAAGAAGAGUUGCUUUCUGCUGGGAGAGUGACGCGUGUGUUACUAAUCUCUUAUUUAGCGUUGCUCUAGGGUCGGUAGUACCAUAUGAAAGAUCAAACAUUUCAUUCCUCCUUUUGUUCUGAUGCAGAUGCUUGCUUAUGUGGUUGCAGAUCGACUUGCGAUAUGUUAAGCAAAUCACUGUGCCACGCAAUGAGCAAUUAGAAAAGAGUGUUUCACCAAAGAUAAAUGAUGAUGUAGUAAUGGAUGCCUUCUACACGCUACAUGUGUGGUUCCCGAAUUGGACCAUAUAUUUUCACGAAGAUCUUCAAGUGUGGCAUUUGCUUAAUUCUCUCACAUCUGCCAUUUAAAGUUCCUCUCUUUGCUUCUAAUCAAUCUGUGUAGAUACUACUCCCUCCGUUCCUAAAUAUAAGUCAUUUGAACAAUUCAUAAAAGAAUAUUGAAGGA